ensembl:snRNA U6 U6 spliceosomal RNA
AGCAUAGUCAAGCCAAUAUACUAAAAUGGAACAACACAGAAAAGAUUAGCAUGGCCCCUGAGCAAGGAUGACAUGAAAAUCUGUGAAGUGUUCCAUAUUCAA